rnacentral:rRNA from 1 species
CCAAGCAAAAAAGAGCGCAGGGUGGAUGCCUUGGCACUAAGAGCCGAUGAAAGACGUGAUAAGCUGCGAAAAGCUUCGGGGAGGAGCAAAUAUCCAAUGAGCCGGAGAUAUCUGAAUGGGGAAACCCACAUGAGAAGACCUCAUGUAUCCAUACGCCAAUCCAUAACGUAUGGAGGGGAACCGGGGGAACUGAAACAUCUAAGUACCCCGAGGAGAAGAAAGAAAACUCGAUUUCCUAAGUAGCGGCGAGCGAACGGGAAAGAGCCCAAACCAGUGUGCGUGCAUGCUGGGGUUCGGACUGUAUCAUUGAUUCCUUGAUUCUACCAGAAUGGUUUUGGGAAAGCCAGCCAGAGAGGGUGAAAGCCCCGUAUGGGAAAGGAAAGAGGACAAGACAGGAUCCAGAGUACCACGAGACACGAGAAACCUUGUGGGAAGGAGCGGGGACCACCCCGUAAGGCUAAAUACUCCUUAGUGACCGAUAGUGCAUAGUACUGUGAAGGAAAGGUGAAAAGGACCCCGGGAGGGGAGUGAAAGAGAACCUGAAACCCUGUGUUUACAAGCUGUGGAACCGCUUUACAUGCGGAACCGCGUACUUUUUGUAGAACGGUCCGGCGAGUUGUGCAUGCUGGCAAGGUUAAGCGCUAAAGGCGUGGAGCCGUAGGGAAACCAAGUCUGAAUAGGGCCAGAGUCAGUAUGUGCAGACCCGAAACCGGGUGAUCUAUCCAUGUCCAGGUUGAAGCUGCCGUAAGAGGCAGUGGAGGACCGAACCCACAUCCGUUGAAAAGGGUGGGGAUGAGGUGUGGAUAGGGGAGAAAUUCCAAUCGAACCCGGAGAUAGCUGGUUCUCCUCGAAAUAGCUUUAGGGCUAGCCUCGAUAGAGAUACAUGGAGGUAGAGCACUGAAUUUCCUAGGGGGCGUCAAAGCCUACCGAAGAAUAUCAAACUCCGAAUGCCAUGGAAUUGAUUAUCGGGAGUCAGACUAUACGAGAUAAGUUGGAUAGUCAAAAGGGAAAGAGCCCAGACCUCCAGCUAAGGUCCCAAAGUACGUGUUAAGUGGAAAAGGAUGUGGGAUUUCGAAGACAACCAGGAUGUUGGCUCAGAAGCAGCCAUACAUUCAAAGAGUGCGUAAUAGCUCACUGGUCGAGAGGUCCUGCGCCGAAAAUGUCCGGGGCUAAAACACGACACCGAAGCUGAGGAAUGUAGUAAUACAUUGGUAGAGGAGCAUUGAAUACGGGAAGAAGCAGUACCGAAAGGAGCUGUGGACUGUAUUGAAGAGAGAAUGCCGGAAUGAGUAGCGAGAAUAAGGUGAGAAUCCUUAUGGCCGAAUAUCUAAGGUUUCCAGGGUAAAGCUGAUCUGCCCUGGGUAAGUCGGGACCUAAGGCGAGGUCGAAAGACGUAGCCGAUGGACAACAGGUUGAGAUUCCUGUACUGCGUUAGAACAGAACUGUGGGGACACGUGUGGAAAGCACAUCCUGGGAAUGGAAUCCCGGGGCAAGCGAAGGAGGAGUCACAUAGGAAAAACCGUGUGGCAAUCCAAAGGCGUGAUGCGGACCGAAUUCGAGUAGGGAAGUGUGUGAGCCAUGCGUCAAGAAAAGCCGCUAUUGUUUGUAACGUACCCGUACCGUAAACCGACACAGGUGGAUGAGGAGAGAAUCCUAAGGCCGACGGAAGAAGCAUUGCCAAGGAACUCGGCAAAAUGACCCCGUAACUUCGGGAGAAGGGGUGCCCGUGUAAAAGCGGGCCGCAGAGAAUAGGCUCAAGCAACUGUUUAGCAAAAACACAGGUCUAUGCGAAACCGAAAGGUGAGGUAUAUGGGCUGACGCCUGCCCGGUGCUGGAAGGUUAAGAGGAGAUGUCAGGAAACGAAGCAUUGAAUUUAAGCCCCAGUAAACGGCGGCCGUAACUAUAACGGUCCUAAGGUAGCGAAAUUCCUUGUCGGGUAAGUUCCGACCCGCACGAAAGGCGUAAUGAUUUGAGCGCUGUCUCGGCAAUGCAUCCGGUGAAAUUGAAGUACCAGUGAAGAUGCUGGUUACCUGCGCCAGGACGGAAAGACCCCAUGGAGCUUUACUCCAGUUUGGUACUGGGAUUCGGUAUUGCAUGUACAGGAUAGGUGGGAGACUAGGAGGUAGUGACGCCAGUUGCUACGGAGUCGAUGUUGGGAUACCACCCUUGCAGUAUUGGGUUUCUAACCAGCCGCCGUGACCCGGCGGUGGGACAAUGCCAGGCGGGGAGUUUGACUGGGGCGGUCGCCUCCGAAAGGGUAUCGGAGGCGCCCAAAGGUUCCCUCAGAAUGGACGGAAACCAUUCGAAGAGUGCAAAGGCAGAAGGGAGCUUGACUGCGACACCGACGGGUGGAGCAGGUACGAAAGUAGGGCUUAGUGAUCCGGUGGUAUUAAGUGGGAGUGCCAUCGCUCAACGGAUAAAAGCUACCCUGGGGAUAACAGGCUUAUCACUCCCAAGAGUUCACAUCGACGGAGUGGUUUGGCACCUCGAUGUCGGCUCAUCGCAUCCUGGGGCUGAAGUAGGUCCCAAGGGUUGGGC